GAGGCAAGCCAGUAAAGAACAUCCCUCCAUGGCCUCUGCAUCAGCUCCUGCUCCCUGACCUGCUUGAGUUCCAGUCCUGACUUCCUUUGGUGAUGAACAGCAGCAUGGAAGUGCAAACAUGAGAAGACUGGUUUCCAGGCAGCUAGGAGAAAGUUGUCUCAAAGCCGCAACCCCCACCUCCCCAGUGACACACUUCCUCAAACAAGGCCACACCUCCUAAUAGUGCCACUCCUUGGGGCCAAGCAUAUUCAAACCACACACCUAUAUUCAAGGCAUUUUCCCAUCUCAACAGAUAUUCUGUGCCUAAAUCCCCAUCUGGGAAAGACAAGCCUAAGGGUGAUUCUGUGUUCCUGCCCAGUAAUUGGUUUAUGAACAUAGGCCAGACUCAAUCAGAGUACAUCAGUGCCCAGAAGAGAAGCUGGCUCAAAAACCGUCACAGGAUCAAAAGUGUGGCAAGGACUGAAGAAAGAAAUUUAUUUGCUUAUAAGUGAACUUCUGGUUGGCAGCACCUCUGGGUGAAAGCAAGAAUGUUAGCAACCAUUUUGCUUCUAUCAAGGAAGCAGUCCAAGGCCAAAGCCAACAUGAAGACCAUCUCGGGCUCUUCGGCUGCAGUGGAAAGCUACGUAAGUAAUCGGCCUCCGAAGCC
rnacentral:lncRNA from 1 species